CAGCCGCCGCGGGAAUACGUAGGUCCCGAGCGUUGUCCGGAUUUAUUGGGCGUAAAGCGAGCGCAGGCGGUUAGAUAAGUCUGAAGUUAAAGGCUGUGGCUUAACCAUAGUAUGCUUUGGAAACUGUUUAACUUGAGUGCAGAAGGGGAGAGUGGAAUUCCAUGUGUAGCGGUGGAAUGCGUAGAUAUAUGGAGGAACACCGGUGGCGAAAGCGGCUCUCUGGUCUGUAACUGACGCUGAGGCUCGAAAGCGUGGGGAGCAAACAGGAUUAGAUACCCCCGUAGUCCCUGUCUCUUAUACA
rnacentral:rRNA from 1 species